ensembl:snRNA U6 U6 spliceosomal RNA
GUACUCGCUUCAGCAGCACAUAUACUAAAAUUGGAAUGAUACAGAGAUUAGCAUGGUCCCUGCGCAAGGAUGAUGUGCAAAUUCAUGAAGCAUUCCAUAUUUUU